CUUUCCCAUGAGUUAGCAGCUCUUAAACUUUUGAGAACCUGAACAAAGCUAUAUGUUCUCUCCUGGAUAAAUGCAUAUUAGCAUAGGCAUGCAUUUUGAUUACAAGAUCUGGUGUCCAUAGACCUCUACAGCCUAGCCACCAGAAAAUGUCUUGUGUCAAGACAGAAAACCAUGCAGAACAAGAACAUUGCUACCCUCCUGAAUCCAAUAUCCCAGCUGCCUGGAGGUUUCUGAGCAGGGAUGGGGACAAGAAAAGACCCCAACAAGAAAAUAAGAGGUCACAAUCUGGAGGAGUUUUCAGACCAAACAUGGCUUCUGUCAAGAAGAUUUCUUCCAUUCUGACAAGCACCAAUCAGAGUUGAUGCAUCUGCUUGGGAACCUCAUGGAACACAUUCCUGGAGAGAUGAACAAACUGGACGAUAGCCCUUACAAAUACUCCUUCUCUGUCUGUGUUAUUGUGGAUAGAAGCAUGGAUAAAAUGUCAUGCUUCUAUGUUAGAUAAACCCAUUCACUUUUAAACUGGAUCCUAUCUCCACUUAUGCAUUCAGCUACAGCAAUUCUCCUCUCUCAUUUAUCUUUACAUUCUCACUUUUUAAAUGGUCAUCCCCAGCAGCAAAUAUGUUGUUAUUUCAUCUAGCUUAACAAAACAACAACGAACAACAAAACAUCCCCGUUAACUGCAACUCCCCUCCAUCUAUUCCACAUUUACCUGUCACAUGUGUGCUGCAUCUUUCAUAGAAUUUUCCUCAGCCAACAAAGCCAGCCCUUCUUCUCAGGAGAAGAUCACAGCCAAUGACUGACUGGCACAUAGGUACAAAAAUUCUGGUCCACUGCCUUGAGGUAAAGCUAACUUAGGAGUGCAAACUGUUUUCCAGAGCUUCCCUACAAGAUGGGACUGACACUAGUUGUCAGUUGAGACUCUACUCCUGCUUGGCAUUUUUUCUGCCCUAUAUUUCUUCCCAUACUUCACCUUUUCUGGAAAGUAUUUCCCCAAUAAAUUAUCUGGUUCUAGGGGACCCA
rnacentral:lncRNA from 1 species